UACGAGGGGGGCAAGCGUUGUUCGGAAUUAUUGGGCGUAAAGGGUGAGUAGGCGGUUUGUUAAGUCGGUUGUGAAAGCCCGGGGCUCAACCCCGGAGGGUCGACCGAUACUGGCAGGCUAGAGUACAGAAGAGGUAACUGGAAUUCCCGGUGUAGCGGUGAAAUGCGUAGAUAUCGAGAGGAACACCUGCGGCGAAGGCGGGUUGCUGGGCUGAUACUGACGCUGAUGCGCGAAAGCCAGGGGAGCGAACGGG
rnacentral:rRNA from 1 species